rnacentral:ncRNA from 3 species
AAUGCUCGCCUGCCACGCGGGCGGCCC